rnacentral:rRNA from 1 species
UACAGAGGUCCCAAGCGUUGUUCGGAUUCACUGGGCGUAAAGGGUGCGUAGGCGGUCGGGUAAGUCUGGCGUGAAAUCUCCGAGCCUAACUCGGAAACUGCGUUGGAUACUAUCCGGCUUGAGGAAUGGAGGGGAGACUGGAAUACUUGGUGUAGCAGUGAAAUGCGUAGAUAUCAAGUGGAACACCAGUGGCGAAGGCGAGUCUCUGGACAUUUCCUGACGCUGAGGCACGAAAGCCAGGGGAGCAGACGGG